rnacentral:rRNA from 1 species
GACGAACGCUGGCGGCGUGCUUAACACAUGCAAGUCGAACGAGGUCCAUGAAGUAGCAAUACUUCGGAAGACCUAGUGGCGAACGGGUGCGUAACACGUGAGGAACUUGUCCCGGUCUCUGGGAUAACAGUUGGCAACGACUGCUAAUACCGGAUGACGUCGGAGCAUCGCAUGGUGCGCUGACGAAAGGGUUACUGGAUCGGGAGAGCCUCGCGGCCUAUCAGCUUUGUUGGUGGGGUAACGGCCUACCAAGGCAUCGACGGGUAGCUGGUCUGAGAGGAUGAUCAGCCACACUGGGACUGAGACACGGCCCAGACUCCUACGGGAGGCAGCAGUGGGAAUCUUGCGCAAUGGGCGAAAGCCCUGACGCAGCAACGCCGCGUGCGGGAAGAAGGCUCUCGGUUGUAAACCGC